rnacentral:rRNA from 1 species
UGAACCAGCCAAGUCGCGUGAGGGAUGAAGGUUCUAUGGAUCGUAAACCUCUUUUAUAAGGGAAUAAAGUGCGGGACGUGUCCCGUUUUGUAUGUACCUUAUGAAUAAGGAUCGGCUAACUCCGUGCCAGCAGCCGCGGUAAUACGGAGGAUCCGAGCGUUAUCCGGAUUUAUUGGGUUUAAAGGGUGCGUAGGCGGCCCCUUAAGUCAGCGGUGAAAGUCUGUGGCUCAACCAUAGAAUUGCCGUUGAAACUGGGAGGCUUGAGUAUGUUUGAGGCAGGUGGAAUGCGUGGUGUAGCGGUGAAAUGCAUAGAUAUCACGCAGAACCCCGAUUGCGAAGGCAGCCUGCCAAGCCAUUACUGACGCUGAUGCACGAAAGCGUGGGGAUCAAACAGGAUUAGAUACCCUGGUAGUCCACGCAGUAAACGAUGAUCACUAGCUGUUUGCGAUACACUGUAAGCGGCACAGCGAAAGCGUUAAGUGAUCCACCUGGGGAGUACGCCGGCAACGGUGAAACUCAAAGGAAUUGACGGGGGCCCGCACAAGCGGAGGAACAUGUGGUUUAAUUCGAUGAUACGCGAGGAACCUUACCCGGGUUUGAACGCAUUUCGACAGCUCUGGAAACAGAGUCUCUAGCGAUAGCGAUUUGCGAGGUGCUGCAUGGUUGUCGUCAGCUCGUGCCGUGAGGUGUCGGCUUAAGUGCCAUAACGAGCGCAACCCUUGCCACUAGUUACUAACAGGUAAAGCUGAGGACUCUGGUGGGACUGCCAGCGUAAGCUGCGAGGAAGGCGGGGAUGACGUCAAAUCAGCACGGCCCUUACAUCCGGGGCGACACACGUGUUACAAUGGCGUGGACAAAGGGAAGCCACCUGGCGACAGGGAGCGAAUCCCCAAACCACGUCUCAGUUCGGAUCGGAGUCUGCAACCCGACUCCGUGAAGCUGGAUUCGCUAGUAAUCGCGCAUCAGCCAUGGCGCGGUGAAUACGUUCCCGGGCCUUGUACACACCGCCCGUCAAGCCAUGGGAGCCGGGGGUACCUGAAGUCCGUAACCGCGAGGAUCGGCCUAGGGUAAAACUGGUGACUGGGGCUAAGUCGUAACAAGGUAGCCGUACCGGAAGGUGCGGCUG